rnacentral:rRNA from 1 species
UACGUAGGGUGCAAGCGUUGUCCGGAAUUAUUGGGCGUAAAGAGCUCGUAGGCGGUUUGGUAGGUCCGCUGUGAAAACUCGAGGCUCAACCUCGAGACGCCGGUGGAAACCAUCAGACUAGAGUCCGGAAGAGGAGAGUGGAAUUCCUGGUGUAGCGGUGAAAUGCGCAGAUAUCAGGAAGAACACCCGUGGCUAAGGCGGCUCUCUAGUACGGUACUGACGCUGAGACGCGAAAGCGUGGGGAGCGAACAGG